GAUGAAGAACGUAGCGAAAUGCGAUAAGUAAUGUGAAUUGCAGAAUUCAGUGAAUCAUCGAAUCUUUGAACGCACAUUGCGCCCAUUAGUAUUCUAGUGGGCAUGCCUGUUCGAGCGUCAUUAAGUCCAUUAAGCCUAGUUGCUUAGCGUUGGGAGUAUUACCGUACGGUAACUCCUCAAAGUCAGUGGCAGGGUUACGGUACACUCUAAGCGUAGUAGAUUUCUUUCUCGCUUUUGCUGUGGCCGCGGCCGUUGCCAUAAACCUAUACUUUCUUAGUUGGUUGACCUCGGAUCAGGUAGGAAUACCCGCUGAACUUAAGCAUAUCAAUAAGCGGAGAA
rnacentral:misc_RNA from 1 species